GUACCUACGGGGGGCAGCAGUGGGGGAUAUUGGACAAUGGGGGGAACCCCGAUCCAGCGACGCCGCGUGAGUGAAGAAGUAUUUCGGUAUGUAAAGCUCUGUCAGCAGGGAAGAAAGAAAUGACGGUACCUGACCAAGAAGCCCCGGCUAACUACGUGCCAGCAGCCGCGGUAAUACGUAGGGGGCAAGCGUUAUCCGGAUUUACUGGGUGUAAAGGGAGCGUAGACGGCCAUUCAAGCCAGAUGUGAAAGCCCGGGGCUCAAUCCCGGGACUGCAUUUGGAACUGUGUGGCUAGAGUGUCGGAG
rnacentral:rRNA from 1 species